UACGUAGGGUGCAAGCGUUGUCCGGAAUUAUUGGGCGUAAAGAGCUCGUAGGCGGUCUGUCGCGUCGGCUGUGAAAACCUAGGGCUCAACCCUGGGCCUGCAGCCGAUACGGGCAGACUAGAAUUCGGUAGGGGAGACUGGAAUUCUCGGUGUAGCAGUGAAAUGCGUAGAUAUCGAGAGGAACACCAGUGGCGAAGGCGAGUCUCUGGACGACUCCUGACACUGAGGCACGAAAGCUAGGGGAGCAAACAGG
rnacentral:rRNA from 1 species